UGACCCGACGCUUAAAAAACUUUUGGCCAAGCAUCGCUUCCUUCCCCUCCUCAUUUUUCCCUCGCAGCCCUGCCCUCAAAUUUUAUGCAAAAGUCUUCUAAAAACGCCUUAAUCUUCUCUUCCUCCUACUCGCCAGGGUAACGCCUUUAAUCGCUCUGAUUACCUUUCUCCUCUUACAUCUCAUAACCGCCAUUAUUUCUGUCAACCAUAUCCACAGCAGCCACAUCCUCUCUGAACAAGGCUCUUAGUCACUAUACAACCCCUUAUAUGAGUGCCCAAACCUGGCAUUCUCACUGGAUGGCCAUGGACUUGGCUUCGAAACCUCUAGGUGCUCUUUCCCCAAAUAAUGCUAGGUAUAUUAAAUCUGCAAAAAAAAUCAAUCAAAUUUCAGUUAUAACUUUACAAAAGAUGCGCCUUUUAAAAUUCUCUAAAAACCUUUCACACUGAAAUCUUCACCCUUCAAUAAUAAACACUCAACAAUUAACAGAGGAGAUUCAAACUCAACAUCAAACUUAUAUCCAUCUUCUUCUCCACGUCAUUUUUCCGAUUCUAACACCAUCGAUUCUCAUUAAAACCCCAAAACAGAGUUUAGUUAAUGGAGUUCAGUGGAGGUUUCUGGUUUGGGGCCCAAAUUUUCCAGUCAGUUUUCAAAGUUUCCGUCGAGUUGAGGUCUCCGGUCGCGCAUCCUUUAUUCCUAUCGAAACUAGUAGAUUCACUUGAGUCAUCGGAGCGACAAGUGGGAGGCAAAUUUUCCAGAGCAAGGAAAGACGUAGAGUCAAAUCGGAGAUCUUGGUAAUACUUCUACAUGAGGCGGUACCCCCUUUUCAUGCUAUGGCAUAUAGAGCGAGAAUGGGACUAUGAUUGCCACAUAUUACAGUACGUAUGUAAUUAUUUUCUAUUAAAUAUACAAUUCAGCUAAUGAAACGAUUACCACGACUGAAUUGAAAUUAACAGCGAUUGAAUUGAAAUACCAACUGAUCAUUAUCAUUAAAGUUGAUUUCAUUCAAUUCAAAUAAUGGGUCAUUAAUCUGUAUAAAUAAAAUACGAAGAACCUUUUCCUUCGUAUAGUUUGUCUGUCAUGAUGCAGAAAUGUCAGUUUGUUGGAUGGCUCCUACAUGCAUGUGUAUAUAUACAAGCAUGAAAAAAAUGUGGUUGAAGUAAAGAA